CGGACGGGUGAGUAACAAGUGGAUAACCUACCUAUAAGACUGGGAUAACUUCGGGAAACCGGAGCUAAUACCGGAUAAUAUAUUGAACCGCAUGGUUCAAUAGUGAAAGACGGUUUUGCUGUCACUUAUAGAUGGAUCCGCGCCGCAUUAGCUAGUUGGUAAGGUAACGGCUUACCAAGGCAACGAUGCGUAGCCGACCUGAGAGGGUGAUCGGCCACACUGGAACUGAGACACGGUCCAGACUCCUACGGGAGGCAGCAGCC
rnacentral:rRNA from 1 species